AUUGCAGAGCAUCUGACAAUGACUUGAGCUUCAAUCCCGAUGGUUCUGCUGUGAACCCUGCAACUUUCUAACAACAUAUUCGACGAGAUUCUAAUCUAAUUGGACAACUAUUUCAGACCGAUCCUGAGCUUGCCCAAGCUGUUGUUGGAAAUGACCUCAACAAACUGCAGGAGAUUCUAUGAGCUCGUAAUCAACGAAGAUUUGAAUUGCGACGAAAAGAGGAGGAGCUUGCUCUUCUUCAGGCUGAUCCUUUUGAUGUUGAAGCACAAAAGAAAAUUGAAGCUGCCAUUCGGCAGAAAGUGAUUGAUGAGAACUGGGCUGCUUCCUUAGAGUAUGAUCCCGAAGGCUUUGCAAGGGUGGUAUGUAGUCUUGCUUCCCUUGUGAAGUGUACCUAUUAAAAUUUAUAGCUUUCUUCCACUUUAGAAUAUAAUGUUUCUUUUCGUUCUAAUCAGGUUAUUUUGUACGUGGGUGUGGAGGUUAACGGUGUCCCA